rnacentral:rRNA from 1 species
UACGUAGGGUGCAAGCGUUGUCCGGAAUUAUUGGGCGUAAAGAGCUCGUAGGCGGUUUGUCGCGUCUGCUGUGAAAACUCAGGGCUUAACCCUGAGCCUGCAGUGGGUACGGGCAGACUAGAGUGUGGUAGGGGAGAUCGGAAUUCCUGGUGUAGCGGUGGAAUGCGCAGAUAUCAGGAGGAACACCGGUGGCGAAGGCGGAUCUCUGGGCCAUAACUGACGCUGGAGGAGCGAAAAGCAUGGGGAGCGAACAGGGA